UACGGAGGGUGCGAGCGUUGUCCGGAAUCACUGGGCGUAAAGCGUGCGCAGGCGGUUUUGUAAGUCAGAUGUGAAAUCCCCCGGGCUCAACCUGGGAACUGCGUUUGAAACUACAAGGCUAGAGUGUAGCAGAGGGGGGUAGAAUUCCACGUGUAGCAGUGAAAUGCGUAGAGAUGUGGAGGAAUACCAAUGGCGAAGGCAGCCCCCUGGGUUAACACUGACGCUCAUGCACGAAAGCGUGGGGAGCAAACAGG
rnacentral:rRNA from 1 species